rnacentral:rRNA from 1 species
GUGGGGAAUUUUGGACAAUGGGCGAAAGCCUGAUCCAGCCAUGCCGCGUGCAGGAUGAAGGCCUUCGGGUUGUAAACUGCUUUUGUACGGAACGAAACGGUCCGGGUUAAUACCCUGGGCUAAUGACGGUACCGUAAGAAUAAGCACCGGCUAACUACGUGCCAGCAGCCGCGGUAAUACGUAGGGUGCAAGCGUUAAUCGGAAUUACUGGGCGUAAAGCGUGCGCAGGCGGUUUUGUAAGACAGGCGUGAAAUCCCCGGGCUCAACCUGGGAAUUGCGCUUGUGACUGAAAGGCUGGAGUGCGGCAGAGGGGGAUGGAAUUCCGCGUGUAGCAGUGAAAUGCGUAGAUAUGCGGAGGAACACCGAUGGCGAAGGCAAUCCCCUGGGCCUGCACUGACGCUCAUGCACGAAAGCGUGGGGAGCAAACAGGAUUAGAAACCCCGGUAGUCC